rnacentral:tRNA from 1 species
GCCGCCCUAGCUCAGUCGGCAGAGCGAUUCACUCGUAAUGAAUAGGUCUGGGGUUCGAUUCCCCAGGGCGGCU